UCUAACAUCACAUAUGAUUUAUCAUCUAUUUCAUUUCCAUCCUUGAUUACUGCAUACUCUAUUUUGUUCACAUUUUCUGAUCGGUUCUCUUCACUAUAGAAAUAACCAUGCUUGCGAAUUCGUAUUAGCAGCUCAAUAUGCACUCAUUAUCUACAGUGCAAUACAUGAGAAGAAUUUUUGUCCAUGGAACUAUUCCCAGCUAAAUAGGCCACUGCACCUGUCCAGAAAAUAUAAUUAUCUACAACAAGUGAGUCCAGCUAAAGGUCAAACGAGCAAAAUCCCAGAUUGAUUAGCCAAAUAGUUCAUGUGGAAAAAUAUAUUUUCUGUCUAAGCGUGGCCACAAACCUGGCGUAAAAUAUAGUCAUCUAUUUGCAGCUGUAGCCAGUAUGAAUGGCACGCAGCUAAUGUAAUAUUGAGUUGACCUGAUCAGGCUACUAUAAUUUUGAGCAUUCUGUAUGACUAUGACAAAUGCUAUUGCUGAAAUACUGCAGAUCAUCUCUAUUUCCAUA